GCCCGAGUAGUUUAUUCGUGAAAAACAUGAAAUACGUAUUUAUUUUGUUGAUUGUUUUGACAUUGAGCUGUUUAAUUUACUCCAUGAUAGUCCGCGGAAAAAGAAGCAUUGAUCACUUGAUCGAUUCAACUAACCUGGGAGCCACUGCUACAUUUGGAGACCGUCAAGUAGAAGAAUGCUUAGCUCAAGGAAACCCUCCCUGGAAAUGCUACUCUGAGCAGUCUGGCUUCAACCCACUGUGGUAG